UACGAAGGGGGCUAGCGUUGCUCGGAAUCACUGGGCGUAAAGCGCACGUAGGCGGAUCAUUAAGUCGGGGGUGAAAUCCUGGAGCUCAACUCCAGAACUGCCUUCGAUACUGAAGAUCUCGAGUCCGGGAGAGGUGAGUGGAACUGCGAGUGUAGAGGUGAAAUUCGUAGAUAUUCGCAAGAACACCAGUGGCGAAGGCGGCUCACUGGCCCGGUACUGACGCUGAGGUGCGAAAGCGUGGGGAGCGAACAGG
rnacentral:rRNA from 1 species